rnacentral:rRNA from 1 species
CGCGUAGGCGGUUUGUUUAGUUAGGCGUGAAAUUCCUGGGCUUAACCUGGGGACUGCGCUUAAUACAGGCAGACUUGAGUUCGGAAGAGGGUCGUGGAAUUCCCAGUGUAGAGGUGAAAUUCGUAGAUAUUGGGAAGAACACCGGUGGCGAAGGCGGUGACCUGGUCCGAUACUGACGCUGAGGCGCGAAAGCGUGGGGAGCAAACA